CGGACGGGUGAGUAACGCGUGAGUAACCUGCCUUACACAAGGGGAUAGCCGUUGGAAACGACGAAUAAUACCCUAUGAAACUAUCACUUCGCAUGAAGCGAUAGUCAAAGUGUUAGCGGUGUAAGAUGGACUUGCGUCUGAUUAGCUAGUUGGUGAGAAAAAAGCCCACCAAGGCAACGAUCAGUAGCCGGCUUGAGAGAGUGUACGGCCACAUUGGGACUGAGACACGGCCCAG
rnacentral:rRNA from 2 species